CUGCACUACUACUGGCGUCAAGGUGACAGAUUUGCUGACUUUGUGCUGCGCUCAAAGUAAAAAUUAUUUUAACUGUGAUCUUGCCGCUGACCUUUUUAAAAGCGCAACCAAUAAGAUAACAGCAUGUUGUUACCUAGCAACGGAAAAUGGCUUCCUUGCCACCUUGUUGACGAAUACGUGCGCCGCUCUUCGCUCUCCGUGCUGUGCUCUGUGCUCUACAUAGUGGCGUGCAGAGAGCAAAUCGCGUAUCCCGUGUAGGCAGCUUAAACUACUUCUUACCGAGAGGUGAUACAUGUUUAUUUACCUUCACAGUUUUGCCUCUAGUUCUUCUGCUUUCCGCAAAUUGUCGAAGUAAACAAACAGGUGUACCAAAUAGGUUACCAAAUAGUUAAUUUAAGACUGGAUGAAGAUACCUCAUUAAAUUGUUUGAAUGUAUUUAUCUAUAACUUCCUCAACAUGCUGCAUUUGCAUUUGCAGUGUGUAGUGUGCUAGAUGCAGAAAAUAAAUAAUACCUGUUUUGACUGUGGAUAAGCUUUAUACAAAUGUAUUACACAAGACUAAUGUACACACUAAAAUCUAUUAAAUUCUAUUUUAAUUAAAGUGACACAAUGCUGAGUGA